UCAGAAAAGGAGAAAACAAAGAAAAAUUUCCAGAACACUUUAACUAAACACUGUCCAAAACUGCACUAGGUACUAAGUUGGUUGAGCUGUUCUGGCCAAUCUUCCUGAUUGUCGGAACUGUACUGUGUAUUUGCUGAGCUUUGUGGUUAUUGGAUUUUCUGUUGCUGUUACAUUCGAUAUCUUGGGUUUUCCUGCUGUCUCUCUGCUCUGUUUUCUGGGAUUGUCUGUCCAUUGCUCGAUCACUUGUUGAGCUUCAUCAUUGUGGCUGUUUUGGUUGUUACUGUGUUGUGCUGUUUACCUGCUGCUGCUGUGCUUACUGUGUACCACUCAACUGAUCCUUUUCCUUCUUCUGUUCUCUAUACCAGGUACACAACUAAUACACUGUCAAUGUAAUUGGAAAUUGAGCAUGAAUACAAAGGAAAAGACCUGAAGAAUGUCUUUUAUACAUAGGUUGUUACAUUAAAUAUCAUGUAAUGUAUAAUAAUUUUCGUUCCUGUUUGGGUACUGGAAGUAGCUUGCGUGUCUAGUAGAUAUCAAUGUAGAUUAGUUGGAUGUUAGUUUAUAUAUGUAUACCGUUAGGUAAAAAAUAUGCCCAAUACAAUAGGUUGUAUCCCAGACUUGGUUUAAUUGUGUAACAUAUCGUUUAAUAUAUGCCAAGCAUGAAAUUAUCCAA